AUUGAACGCUGGCGGCAGGCUUAACACAUGCAAGUCGAGCGAGCGGCGGACGGGUGAGUACUGUCUGGGAAACUGCCUGAUGGAGGGGGAUAACUACUGGACACGGUCGCUAAUCCCGCAUACCAUCAGCUGUGCCCAGAUGGGAUUAGCUAUUAGGUGGGGUAAGGGCUCACCUAGGCGACUAUCCCUAGCUGGUCUGAGAGGAUGACCACCCACACUGGAACUGAGACACGGGCCCGACUCCGACGGGAGGCAGCAGGGGGGAAUAUUGCACAAUGGGCGCAAGCCUGAUGCAGCCAUGCCGAGUGUGUGAAGAAGGCCUUCGGGUUGUAAAGCACUUUCAGCGGGGAGGCGUGACGCGCAGAAGAAGCACCGGCUAACUCCGUGCCAGCAGCCGCGGUAAUAC
rnacentral:rRNA from 1 species